rnacentral:tRNA from 1 species
ACUCUAGUAGCUUAACCCACAAAGCAUUGGUUUUGUAAACCAAAGACUGAAGACUACAAUCUUCCUAAAGUA